GACAGAGGGUGCUAGCGUUGUUCGGAAUUACUGGGCGUAAAGGGCGCGUAGGCGGUCUGUUAAGUUCGGUGUGAAGUCCCCCUGGCUCAACUGGGGAACUGCGCUGGAAACUGGCAGACUCGAGUACCGGAGAGGAGAGUGGAAUUCCUGGUGUAGCGGUGAAAUGCGUAGAUAUCAGGAGGAACACCGGUGGCGAAGGCGGCUCUCUGGACGGAUACUGACGCUGAGGCGCGAAAGCGUGGGGAGUCAAACAGG
rnacentral:rRNA from 1 species